rnacentral:lncRNA from 1 species
CAGCAAUUUCACGGUAGAACCGAAAGCAGAUGGAAAAUAGUCACUGGAAACGCCGUUUUGUUUCCCGCUAGGCUUCUAGACAGAAGUCCCAUCGCGUUCCUUGAGGAGUUCUGUGUACCCGAAAUAUUUCCUGGGUUCUGAAAAAUAGCACAGGGCCUCUUAGAGGAUGUUUGAGGUGCACAUAUUUCUCUCCAGAAAGCAAAUAAACUAGAAUUCUGGGAUAUUCACUGGAAAAGCAAAAACUGCUCUUGGAUACUCUAGUUCGUAGAACUAGAAUGAAAUAAGGACAUUUCCCCGUGUUUCUAAAUGCCUUUCACCUCUGCGUGCCAGGAUGAGUUUGACUCCACCAACAGACACUACCAUCAGGAGAUGUUAAGUCUUGGUCUGUUAAGUCUUAGUUGGAUUGUGAGACUUCUCAGCAGUGGAAUCUUUUUGCCUGAAGGGGCCUGCCUUCCAGGGAAGCCUAGAGUUGCAAGCACCAGAAAGGAAGAUUAUGUGCCAUGUGUAUCCCUAAAAGCUGGAAGACAGACUGAUCUGCGGAAGGAGCAAAACUGA